rnacentral:lncRNA from 1 species
ACAGGAAGAAAUCAUAUAUCAUAUAUGAGAUAAAAUUGUUGGAUUACAAUAGUGGAUAUUACAAGAGAAACAUCAUCCAAACGUGAUGCAUAAUCUAACUACUUUCUUGAUAGUGAAACUUAAACUAAAGCAUUCAACUUCCCAACAACUUAACUAAAACUUAAUCGAGGAACAACAUCCAACAGGAACAUCAUCCCGAGAACAUAACUAAAACUGAAAGCAUCCAUCAUCGUCGCCAUCAUGAAGCAGAAUAUCAACAUCAUCAUUGCAGUACACUUGCCACCCACCCAUAUACUCAUGCAUUUAUCUUUUGAAUCUACAAACAAGAAAAAAAAUGAACUGUUAACACACAAUGCAUUGACAUGAUGCAAGUAGUAAUAGAGGCAAGAUAUUAGUCACGUACAAAGGUUGAGGGCCAUGCAAUCUUUGUUUUUUCUGCAUUGCCGAGAGUAGUGCCGUUUUUGCGACUCCGUACCAAAUUUUCAGUUUUCACAAGUG